UCGGUUACUUGUUUCUCCCACCCUUUGGUUUCAAAGUCCCACCAAAUCAGUGGGACUCUUCUGGGAAAGACAAGAGAAAGACGAGAUCGACGAUCGUCUCCAACAGCAGCGGGUUCUACCUAAGCCUCUCCUUCAUCUCCAUUUUUCUUUUCCAAACUAAGGAAGCAGAGGUAAGCAAGCUACAACAAUGAGAUGAUGCUCAGUUUUUACUCUCUUGGCAGAGGAUGCAAGAGGUAGGAAGGCUACAAACGUAGGAUAGUGCUCAGUUUUUUCUCCCCUGGCAGAGGUAGCUUGGGAGCAUGAGAAAUUUUCAAGGUUAAGAGUUACUACUGCCACCCUUUCAGAUUGAAGAUAUGAAUGAAGAUCAGCCAAAUAAAGAAGGAAAGGGGGCAGUGGAUCAAGAGUUGCCCAGAACGAACUGAAUUCACUUUUAUUAAAGUGGAUUUCUCAUUCUCAUUUUAAAUAAUUUUUAGAUCGAUUUUCGACUUAGUAUUUGAAUUGAGUAGAGAGACCUCUCCUAUAUGAUUGGUAUUUGUUGAUGGAUUGUAGAUGCAAUCAUUAAAUUCAUUGUAUCAGACUGUUUGUGUUGCAGCCAGCUUUAUGAGAGGGAUUACCACAAUUGGCCUCUUUAGAAUAAUUUUUUAUUAUUUAAAUUUAAUUAAUUAAUUAAUAUUGAUGGAUCUCACAUUUUAUUGUAACCAUGUUAUUUGAUAA